rnacentral:rRNA from 1 species
AAUAGGCCCAAGCGACUGUUUAUCAAAAACACAGGUCUCUGCUAAACCGUAAGGUGAUGUAUAGGGGCUGACGCCUGCCCGGUGCUGGAAGGUUAAGAGGAGUGGUUAGCUUCUGCGAAGCUACGAAUCGAAGCCCCAGUAAACGGCGGCCGUAACUAUAACGGUCCUAAGGUAGCGAAAUUCCUUGUCGGGUAAGUUCCGACCCGCACGAAAGGCGUAACGAUUUGGGCACUGUCUCAACGAGAGACUCGGUGAAAUCAUAGUACCUGUGAAGAUGCAGGUUACCCGCGACAGGACGGAAAGACCCCGUGGAGCUUUACUGUAGCCUGAUAUUGAAAUUCGGCACAGCUUGUACAGGAUAGGUAGGAGCCUUUGAAACGUGAGCGCUAGCUUACGUGGAGGCGCUGGUGGGAUACUACCCUAGCUGUGUUGGCUUUCUAACCCGCACCACUUAUCGUGGUGGGAGACAGUGUCAGGCGGGCAGUUUGACUGGGGCG